rnacentral:tRNA from 1 species
GACGGUAUAGCUCAGUGGUAGAGCACGUGCUUAGCAUGCACAAGGUCCUGGGUUCAAUCCCCAGUACCUCCA